UGGAGAUAAAUGAAUGGAGUGGUAUGGGAAAAGCUUGCACUGCAGUGUUCAUAUUGUCUGUACGUAAAUAGGAUACUUCAGCUGCCUGCUAAUAAUCUGGCACCUUUCACAAAAUUCAAACAUUUUAAAAAUUCCGUGCUCUGGACCACAGGAAUUGGGGCUCCUGAUAGGCCAGGAUAGAGGAUAGCAAUUUGCCCUGCUUAUGACAACUCCUUUGCGCAUCUUCUCUGAGAACCAAUUGGUGACUGGACCAAAAAUGUUCCCUCAGUUGGAUGUUCUGGUUGAUAAAUUAAUAGCAAGGUUAUUUUGCUACCUAUAUGCUGUUGCUGGAAUCAGUUUCUAUGUAUGGCUUUUACUCAGGCCGCUAUAUUUCAGAUCUUCUAUUGGAAGAUGCAAGUUAUACAAACCUACCCCAGGAUGAUGGGCAGAAAUAAGAGACUGCCUUAAAAAUGAACUCUACUGCCAUGUUGUAACUCAAUACCUCGUUCUAAGAUGGAAGGGUUCGGGUUCAUUAUCUACAACAUCCAUAGAACAAAUCUGUUGCUCCAAAACCCAGCUCCAGAAUCUGCAAGGACAUCUCU